AGGCUGUGGGUCUGUCCCCUUCCCUUGUGUUGCCAAUGAGUUCUGUCCCUGACUGAGGUGCUCUUCUAGAUGGUAGCUCUUUAGGGCAGUAGCUGAACAUGUCCAGUGGAUAGAUGGCCUGCAGCUGCCUGUUCAUCAAGCCACUGUGUUCCGUGGACAGAGGGUGAGCUUUUGCUCUUCCCGGGACUCUGGCUCAGUGUCCAUCACUCUCAGCUCCCAGGGCUGGGGUGCUGCUGCUGGUCUGUGCCACCACAUCACAACCAUUUCCAAAAACAGCUCUGCACACAUAAUUACCGGUCCAGUCCUCAGCUGUCUCCAGACCCCAAAUUAAAAGGGAACACCCACAGAGGCGACCACACUAAGCCUACCGAGGUGAAAAAAUAAUUCCCAGAGGAUGUAAGCAAGGACCAAUUCCUCCAGAAGAAACUCAAGGAUGUGGUUCAUGAUGACACAUCCCCUCUUGCCUGAAGGGAGGAGGCAGCUUCUGUGAGGUGGUGGCCUGAGUGUUGCUCUCCUCCAUGACUCAUCCCUAGAGGAAUCCCCAGCAGCAGGAAAAGAACCAGGAAAGAUGUGGGCUGGCUGUGACCCCAGAUCUGACAGGCAGAAAAAAAGCCAAACCUCCUAAGACAUGUAGCAGCAUUCAAACUGAGGAAAGCUGGGGAAGGUUGUC